GUUCUACUGAUUGAAGUCAUCCUGUCUUGUAACUCAUACAUGGCACAUCUGUAAGUCAAGCUGGAAUCCUCUAAAAUAAGUCACCAAGAAAAACAUUCUGAUCUAUUUCUACACAAAGAAUGAAAAGCCAGGAAGUUACAUAACCCAAAGGUCCCCAGUCUGAAGUGCCUUGUUACUGCUGACAAGACCUGCAUGACUGACCAUAUGCUCCCUAAGAGAUGAAAACUGACACUGCUUUGAAGUUCAAACUGACAUUGUCAAAACAAGAAGAAAUAGAAAAUAACUGCAGCACAUUUAUGACAUUGGUUUCUUUCUCUACGUGAAACAUACAAUGAGAACACUUUAUAGAUGAAUUGUGCCUUCGAUUGAAUAGAGAAUGGUGGGCUAGCUUUGGUUUAAUGGAAUUGGAUAAUUUGUCAUAGUUUCUGCCCCUGGAAAAAUGAUAACCCAAAGGAAAACAAGUGGAAAAACUUU